AUUGAACGCUGGCGGCAGGCCUAACACAUGCAAGUCGGGCGAGUGGCGGACGGGUGAGUAAUGUAUGGGGAUCUGCCUGAUGGAGGGGGAUAACUACUGGAAACGGUAGCUAAUACCGCAUCCAUACGUCGAACCCAUAUGGGAUUAGCCUGUAGGUGGGGUAACGGCUCACCUAGGCGACGAUCCCUAGCUGGUCCGAGAGGAUGAUCAGCAACACUGGGACUGAGACACGGCCCAGACUCCUACGGGAGGCAGCAGUGGGGAAUAUUGCACAAUGGGCGCAAGCCUUAUGCAGCCAUGCCGCGUGGAUGAAGAAGGCCUUCGGGUUGUAAAGUACGUUCAGUCGGGAGGCGUUACCGACAGAAGAAGCACCGGCUAACUCCGUGCCAGCAGCCGCGGUAAUUC
rnacentral:rRNA from 1 species